UGAGGAAUAUUGGACAAUGGGCGCACCCUUGAUCCAGCCAUGCCGCGUGCAGGAUGACGGUCCUAUGGAUUGUAAACUGCUUUUGUACAGGAAGAAACACUGGUUCGUGAACCAGCUUGACGGUACUGUAAGAAUAAGGAUCGGCUAACUCCGUGCCAGCAGCCGCGGUAAUACGGAGGAUCCAAGCGUUAUCCGGAAUCAUUGGGUUUAAAGGGUCCGUAGGCGGUUUAGUAAGUCAGUGGUGAAAGCCCAUCGCUCAACGGUGGAACGGCCAUUGAUACUGCUAGACUUGAAUUAUUAGGAAGUAACUAGAAUAUGUAGUGUAGCGGUGAAAUGCUUAGAGAUUACAUGGAAUACCAAUUGCGAAGGCAGGUUACUACUAAUGGAUUGACGCUGAUGGACGAAAGCGUGGGUAGCGAACAGGAUUAGAUACCCUGGUAGUCCACGCCGUAAACGAUGGAUACUAGCUGUUGGGCGCAAGUUCAGUGGCUAAGCGAAAGUGAUAAGUAUCCCACCUGGGGAGUACGUUCGCAAGAAUG
rnacentral:rRNA from 1 species